GGCGAAAUAGCUCAGCUGCGAAAGCUUUAGAAUGAGAAUUUAGUGUCCCUGGUUCGAACCCGCUUUCGACA